AGAGUUCGAUCAUGGCUCAGGACGAACGCUGGCGGCGCGCCUAACACAUGCAAGUCGAACGGAGCUUUGAAGCGGAAGUUUUCGGAUGGAAGCAUUAAAGCUUAGUGGCGGACGGGUGAGUAACACGUGAGCAACCUGCCUUUCAGAGGGGGAUAACGUUUGGAAACGAACGCUAAUACCGCAUAACGUAUAACUGUGGCAUCACGGAUAUACCAAAGGAGGAAUCCGCUGAGAGAUGGGCUCGCGUCCGAUUAGAUAGUUGGCGGGGUAGAGGCCCACCAAGUCGACGAUCGGUAGCCGGACUGAGAGGUUGAACGGCCACAUUGGGACUGAGACACGGCCCAG
rnacentral:rRNA from 1 species